GGUUGCAGCCUCCGAGCCUCCCAUUUCCCCGAAGUGACGGGGCGCGCGGGGGCGGGGGAGCGCGGGAGGCCUGGAGGCAGGGGCUGCGGCCGGAAACGGGAGGGGCGCGGGCACUGGGGACAGAUGGGCCCUGCGGUCGGCAGAGCUUUGUGUCUGAGAAAUGGUGAAAGUAGAGAGACACGUGGGUGGGUUUGUGGGAGCGCUCCGCUCUGCGCAGAGACCCUGCUGAGGAAGGGGGCGGCGGGGAGAGGGGGCAUCGCCUCUGCUGAAGCUUGUGACGCUUCUGGGACAGAGCCCAGAUUAGAAAAGCGGCCACGGCUGGGGCCCUGACAUUUCCCCUCAGGUCUGAGCCUUGGGGAUGAGACCGCCCCAACCUCCCCGGUGGGACGGCAGCCCCUCCAGCUUGCCCGGAACCUUAGAUCCCGAGCCUGCAGGCCAGCCGCAGACUUGCCUGCGGAGUGAGGAUUCGGGGGACCCUGACUCCCUAGAGUAGGGGCUAGCUGGUGAGGGGAGCGGGGAGAUGGGGCGUGGGGGGGGAUGUCGUCCUUGGGGCAAAGGUGGUGCCGGUGUGGUGUAGAUGCGUCUGGUUCCCUCUGCCCAGGCCUCCUCUCCGGUCUCCAGACCCCCUGUGGGGGACACCUGGAAAUUGUUAUGAGAAGGGAAGUGUCCUUUCUCUCUGACCCAGGGUCCAUGUACUCUAAAACUGUGGUGGGUUCACUUGUCAGCUUGCAAGGUGGGUGAAAUCUCAGACCCUUCAAUUCUUCACAGAAGAACCCUCGAACCCUGGGUUUUACUGCAAUCUCCCCCUCCCCCCAAGCCACCCCUCCCCCCCCCCCCCCCCCGGCCCGGCCUUUGUUCUCUUAACCAAUUAGACCUGAGGCUAAGCCCGCCACCAGGGUGCCCCUGCUCAGAAGCCUCACCCAUCAGGGUGGGGGCCAGGCCUCCCUGCACACAGCAGCCCUGUGGGAACCCUCCUGGGGCUGCUGGCGGCCGGGGGCUUUUGCCUCCUUAAUACCCUACAUCGGAUUAACUCCACGUUGUAUUCUGGCCCCGGUUCCCAUUGCACCUACUUUCCACCCCAGAUUACCCUUAACCCCGUUAAGUGCAGCAAAAUUAUACUUUCAGGUCAACGGCAGCAUAGAGGCUCUGACGCUGUGACAGCCCAAAUUUGAGUAUAAAUCUUUUCCCGAUAUCCAGUAUUCCAGGAGAAAUUACGGUACAAGAAUUAACCCUUUCCCGAAGUAAUAUAAGCCUCAAAGAAAUUGAACUAAAAUUCUUAAGUUCAAGUCCAAACAAGCUCAAGUACUAGGAAGGAAAACAAUCUCAAACAAAUCAGUUGGGCUUCCCUGGUUGAGAGCAGAGAGCAGAGGUUGAGAGCCGCCUGCUGAUGCACGGGACUCGGGUUUGUGCCCUGGUCCGGGAAGAUCCCACAUGCCACGGAGCGGCUGGGCCCGUGAGCCAUGGCCGCUGAGCCUGCGCGUCCGGAGCCUGUGCUCCGCAACGGGAGAGGCCACAGCAGUGAGAGGCCCGCAUACUGCAAAAACAGAAAAAACAAAAAACAAAUCAGUUCUGUGUUGCAGUUUCCGAUAAACAGGUCACGUGACUUCCCGCCUCCUCUGGGCGAGGCUGUGGCCCCGGGGCUGGAGGCUGGCAGUCAGGAAGGCCGGAUGGAUUCCAGACACGGGACCCGCCUGAGUUUGCAGUUUCCUGGCAGCAGGAGCUCACAGUCUAGGCUUUUCUUUGACAGUCAAAAAAGGCUGCUUUGUUGUGUCUAGUGGGAGACUUUCCCUUCUUCCCUUCUAGGGUCUUCGGCUUGUGUAAUAAUUAAAUUGACAUAAAACAACUUAGCAGCAGAAAAACAAAUUUUGUGCAUACAGGAGCCCCAUAAAAACAUGAGACCCAAAGGGCAGCCAGAAAAUUGUGGCUUUGAUAACUUCCUGAGCCAAGGAGAGGGGUGGGGUCUGGGGUACAGAGGAAGGCCGGCAGCAGGAUGUUGGUGCAGAAAGGCUGCUCUGCAGUGUAUCUCUUAGCUCGCUUCCUGGUCUCCAGUGUAAAUUAGGCAGUUGAGAGGGAGGUAAAGCACUUUUCCUGAAUCUGCUGGACUCUGAUUGCCUUUAAAGCUCUUCAGGAGACCACCCAAGGCCAGAUUAAAGGAGCGCAGGCCCUGCACACACCCUGAUCCUUAUCAGCAGCCCUGCCCUUGAACCAUUGCUAUAAAACUCCUCACCAAAUCCUCCCCGGCUGGAAAACAGUUCUGAGGGCAUGAGCCCACUGUGUCCCUCUACCUGGCAAAGCAAUACAGCUAUUCUCUUCUACUUCACCCAAAACUCUGUCUUUGAGGUUCAAUUCAGCACUGGUGCACAGAGGCCAAGUUUUUGGCAUCAUUAUCACUGUCCCUCUCACCCUCAAUCAUCAGGCAAAGUUGAGAGAGCUAAAGGGAUCCUCAAAUGUCUAAAUUUGUCAAACCUUCUGGACUCCGUGGGCCUAAGGGCUCACUGGCUGUUCAUAGGACCCCCUUUGGGAAACAUAAACUCACUCCACAGGAGUCACCGGGAGACAGAUGUCUAUUGGUAUCUGACCUUCUGCUGAUCCCUUGUCCCACGCUAGUGCGAUCAGCUACUGUAAGUCUCCACUGUCUUAUGCUCAAGUGUCUCAUCAACACUUUAAAGAAACUUUCCCAGUCCCAAUUCAAAGAAUCCUGUUGGUCAGUCUGGAGCCUCAUGACUGGGUCUUCUGGAAAUUUCACCAGAGGAAGACAGCCUUCGAUGUUGGUGGAAGUGACCUUACUAAGUGCUCCUGACCACUGACACUGCUGCAAAAUUAGAAGGUACUGAGCCUUGGGUACACAUCUCACAGCUAAAGAAGGUCCCACCUGACAUCUGGUCCUGUGCAGACACUGGGGACCUCAGGAUCAAACAGACAAGGAGAAGCGGCGGCUGCCACCCAAGACGCUGGAUCAAGGAACAUCAUGACAAGACCAGGUUAAUGUCAACCGGAGUCAACUGACCAAGAACAAAGACCUUGGACUGCAGCCUCUCCUGCUUCCUGACCUCACCUCUGCACGCUUCCCCCUUCCCUGGCAUGAAAGAAGCCUGAAUUAAGAUGGUUCUUUCGGAUAUUAGUUUGCCAUCUUCUCAGAUUGCUCACUUCUGAAUAAAGUCGCUAUUCUUCCCCAA